rnacentral:rRNA from 1 species
AGCGGCGGACGGGUGAGUAACGCGUGGGAAUAAACCCUUCUCUAAGGAAUAGCCUCGGGAAACUGAGAGUAAUACCUUAUACGCCCUUCGGGGGAAAGAUUUAUCGGAGAAGGAUUAGCCCGCGUUAGAUUAGGUAGUUGGUGGGGUAAUGGCCUACCAAGCCUACGAUCUAUAGCUGGUUUGAGAGGAUGAUCAGCCACACUGGGACUGAGACACGGCCCAGACUCCUACGGGAGGCAGCAGUAGGGAAUCUUAGACAAUGGGGGAAACCCUGAUCUAGCCAUGCCGCGUGUGUGAUGAAGGCCUUAGGGUCGUAAAGCACUUUCGCCAGAGAUGAUAAUGACAGUAUCUGGUAAAGAAACCCCGGCUAACUCCGUGCCAGCAGCCGCGGUAAUACGGAGGGGGUUAGCUUUGUUCGGAAUUACUGGGCGUAAAGCGCACGUAGGCGGAUUAGUAAGUUAAGGGUGAAAUCCCAGGGCUCAACCCUGGAACUGCCUUUAAUACUGCUAGUCUUGAGUUCGAGAGAGGUAAGUGGAAUUCCAAGUGUAGAGGUGAAAUUCGUAGAUAUUUGGAGGAACACCAGUGGCGAAGGCGGCUUACUGGCUCGAAACUGACGCUGAGGUGCGAAAGUGUGGGGAGCAAACAGGAUUAGAUACCCUGGUAGUCCACACCGU